rnacentral:rRNA from 1 species
ACUCAAAGGAAUUGACGGGGGCCCGCACAAGCAGCGGAGCAUGUUGCUUAAUUCGAGGCAACGCGAAGAACCUUACCUGGGUUUGACAUGGUAGGAAAAGCCACAGAGAUGUGGUGUCCUUUUGGGCCUAUCACAGGUGGUGCAUGGCUGUCGUCAGCUCGUGUCGUGAGAUGUUGGGUUAAGUCCCGCAACGAGCGCAACCCUUGUCCUAUGUUGCCAGCACGUAAUGGUGGGGACUCGUAGGAGACUGCCGGGGUCAACUCGGAGGAAGGUGGGGACGACGUCAAGUCAUCAUGCCCCUUAUGUCCAGGGCUGCAAACAUGCUACAAUGGCCAGUACAAAGGGCUGCGAAACCGCGAGGUCGAGCGAAUCCCACAAAGCUGGUCUCAGUUCGGAUCGGAGUCUGCAACUCGACUCCGUGAAGCUGGAGUUGCUAGUAAUCCCGGAUCAGCAACGCCGGGGUGAAUACGUUCCCGGGCCUUGUACACACCGCCCGU